rnacentral:rRNA from 1 species
AUUGAACGCUGGCGGCAGGCCUAACACAUGCAAGUCGAACGGUAACAGGAAGCAGCUUGCUGCUUUGCUGACGAGUGGCGGACGGGUGAGUAAUGUCUGGGAAACUGCCUGAUGGAGGGGGAUAACUACUGGAAACGGUAGCUAAUACCGCAUAACGUCGCAAGACCAAAGAGGGGGACCUUCGGGCCUCUUGCCAUCGGAUGUGCCCAGAUGGGAUUAGCUUGUUGGUGGGGUAACGGCUCACCAAGGCGACGAUCCCUAGCUGGUCUGAGAGGAUGACCAGCCACACUGGAACUGAGACACGGUCCAGACUCCUACGGGAUGCAGCAGUGGGGAAUAUUGCACAAUGGGCGCAAGCCUGAUGCAGCCAUGCCGCGUGUAUGAAGAAGGCCUUCGGGUUGUAAAGUACUUUCAGCGGGGAGGAAGGGAGUAAAGUUAAUACCUUGACUCAUUUACGUUACCCGCAGAAGAAGCACCGUCUAACUCCGUG